rnacentral:rRNA from 1 species
AAUGAACGCUGGCGGCGCGCCUAAUACAUGCAAGUCGAGCGAGAAGACGUAGCAAUACGUUUGUAAAGCGGCGAACGGGUGAGGAAUACAUGGGUAACCUACCCUAGAGUGGGGAAUAACUAGCCGAAAGGUUAGCUAAUACCGCGUACGCUCCUUGGACUUCGGUUCAGGGAGGAAAGCGAUGCCGAGGGUAUCGCGCUCUUGGAUGGGCUCAUGUCCUAUCAGCUUGNGGUGAGGUAACGGCUCACCAAGGCUUCGACGGGUAGCUGGUCUGAGAGGACGAUCAGCCACACUGGCACUGCGACACGGGCCAGACUCCUACGGGAGGCAGCAGUAAGGAUAUUGCGCAAUGGGCGAAAGCCUGACGCAGCGACGCCGC